rnacentral:rRNA from 1 species
AUGCACCGCCUCUCAUCUACUUCGCGACUUCCCAUCUCCUUCAUGGCAUCUUCCCCGCCUCGCUGGUGGCCUUCAGCGCUUGCCCGACGAGUUAUCCCACUCUUGGCGGCUCCAAAUCCACCUGCCCGUCGUCUUUCCCGAUUUCCUCAUGGAUCUCAGAACCUGGCCACCGUCAGUCGAGUACAAGGCGAUGAGUCUGGUAAACCAUAUAGACGGCUGCCCAUCUCGAUCGCUCAAAUCAUGAAAAGAAUGAAAAAUACUGGGACGAGGGGCACUGUCUCGGAGGUUAUAGAUGAAGACGAGGGGAAAAGUGAUAAAGAUGCUUUUAGGACAACCUCAGAGGUUAUGGAUGACAAAAGUGAUACAUGGGGCCAAAAUGUGAACUUACCUGGUUUUGAGGAAGACCGAAGUAGCGCAGCCAAGAAUCACAUUACUAGAAUCGCUGUCAGUGAGGAUGAAGGACUCAGUGAUGACGAAGGAUUUAGUGUGAACGGUAUACUUGCAAAAAGCAGACACCGUGACGGUUCUAUAUACAGGGGUAUUGAUUUAUUUCAUUGGAAAGAAGAGUAUCGUAUUGCAGACCGUAAUGAGACUCGGUUGGAGGCAAUGACACUAUCAGAUCCUGCUGCAAAUUGCAAAGUUCACAAUGGAAUUUGUACUAGACAUAUUGCUCGUAGCAUGCUGCAAAUCUACUCAUUAGAGUUGGCUAAAAUUCCUGUGGAUGGCUUCGUAGAGUUGUAUGGAUAUGUAGCAGUUCGGGAUGACCUGGAUCCAUUGCUUAAUUAUGUUGUCAAUAUUAGCAGGGAUGACCCCGUCAUCGUGGAGCAGGGUUCUCUCAUCAACAUGAUUGGCCCCAAGCGAGGGAUAGAUAUGGCAGAUCAUGCUCUACUUGAAUAUGACAUGAAGAUCAAGUCAGGCGAACAAGAAAAAGAUGACCUACAGCUGAUUGAUGGUGCAUCAUUCAUAGGCCCCUUGGGCUCAUGGGAUCAGCCAUGCACGUUUCACAUUGCUGGCGAUUGUGGCUCAGUUGACAUAACUUUGUCACGUCUUUUACACGCAGUUGAGGCGACCGUAGAGGUUCUCAUAUUGGAAGUGAAAAACAGUUUCAGUUUGUCCGUCAGAUGUUUAGCCAGUGGGUUUAAUGAAGAAAUCCGGCUCUUUGAUGGAACCAUCGCUGAUUCACAAGGCCUAAAGAGGUCGGUGGUUGCUGUAAUGGACAAUUCUUUUAUAGAUUUGAAGUUCAAGGUAGGCGCACUGUCAUCCAGUUCCGACCAACAUUGCUGUUCCUUCAAGGUGAAAAUGCAUGGGCAUGAUAUUGAAGAAAUAAAGACUGAUUUUGCAUUAAUCUUAGUGAAGGUGAUUUGGUCGACCUUGCCUAGGGGCUUUUCCGGUUAA